rnacentral:rRNA from 1 species
UACGUAGGGUGCGAGCGUUGUCCGGAAUUAUUGGGCGUAAAGAGCUCGUAGGCGGUGUGUCACGUCGGCCGUGAAAACCUGCAGCUUAACUGUGGGCGUGCGGUCGAUACGGGCAUCACUGGAGUUCGGCAGGGGAGACUGGAAUUCCUGGUGUAGCGGUGAAAUGCGCAGAUAUCAGGAGGAACACCGGUGGCGAAGGCGGCUUUCUGGGCCUUACCUGACGCUGAGGAGCGAAAGCUGGGGGGAGCGAACAGG